rnacentral:rRNA from 1 species
GACGAACGCUGGCGGUGUGCUUAACACAUGCAAGUCGAACGGUAAGGCCCUUUCGGGGGUCCACGAGUGGCGAACGGGUGAGUAACACGUGAGUAACCUGCCCUCAUCUCUGGGAUAACAGUCGGAAACGGUUGCUAAUACUGGAUAUGAGCCUGCAAGGCAUCUUGUGGGUUGGAAAGAUUUUUUGGUUGGGGAUGGACUCGCGGCCUAUCAGCUUGUUGGUGAGGUAGUGGCUCACCAAGGCUUCGACGGGUAGCCGGCCUGAGAGGGCGACCGGCCACAUUGGGACUGAGAUACGGCCCAAACUCCUACGGGAGGCAGCAGUGGGGAAUAUUGCACAAUGGACGGAAGUCUGAUGCAGCAACGCCGCGUGCGGGAUGACGGCCUUCGGGUUGUAAACCGCUUUCAAUUGUGACGAAGCUUUUUGUGACGGUAGCAGUAGAAGAAGCACCGGCUAACUACGUG